GGUAUGGCCCAGUAGUGUGGCACCUGCUUGGCAAGCACAAGGUCCUGAGUUCGAUUCCCAGUACC
rnacentral:tRNA from 1 species